UGAGCAAUCUGCCCUUCACAUCGGAAUAACCAUUGGAAACGAUGGCUAAUACCGAAUAUGACUUCGGAUCGCAUGAUCUGAAGUGGAAAGCUCCGGCGGUGAAGGAUGAGCUCGCGGCCUAUCAGCUUGUUGGUGAGGUAAUAGCUCACCAAGGCGAUGACGGGUAGCCGGCCUGAGAGGGUGACCGGCCACACGUGGGACUGAGACACGGCAGA
rnacentral:rRNA from 1 species